rnacentral:rRNA from 1 species
UGCAAGUCGUACGAGAGUUUUUAACUCUAGUGGCGGACGGGUGAGUAACACGUGAGAAUUUACCUUUAGGAGGGGGAUAACAAUUGGAAACGAAUGCUAAUACCCCAUAUGCUUUCGAGUGAAAUGGAUUUAUAAUUAUCUGCCUAAAGAAAAGCUCGCGGCUGAUUAGCUUGUUGGUAAGGUAAGAGCUUACCAAGGCGACGAUCAGUAUCUGGUUUGAGAGGACGAUCAGACACACUGGAACUGAGACACGGUCCAGACUCCUACGGGAGGCAGCAGUGGGGAAUUUUCCGCAAUGGGCGAAAGCCUGACGGAGCAAUACCGCGUGAGGGAAGACUGCCUAUGGGUUGUAAACCUCUUUUUUCAGGGAGGAAUAAAAUGACGUGUACCUGAAGAAUAAGCAUCGGCUAACUCCGUGCCAGCAGCCGCGGUAAGACGGAGGAUGCAAGUGUUAUCCGGAAUCACUGGGCGUAAAGCGUCUGUAGGUGGUUUAAUAAGUCAACUGUUAAAUCUUGAGGCUCAACUUCAAAACCGCAGUCGAAACUAUUAGACUAGAGUAUAGUAGAGGUAAAGGGAAUUUCCAGUGGAGCGGUGAAAUGCGUAGAUAUUGGAAAGAACACCGAUGGCGAAAGCACUUUACUGGGCUAUUACUAACACUCAGAGACGAAAGCUAGGGUAGCAAAUGGGAUUAGAUACCCCA